rnacentral:rRNA from 1 species
GACGAACGCUGGCGGCGUGCUUAACACAUGCAAGUCGAACGGAAAGGCCCUGCUUUUGUGGGGUGCUCGAGUGGCGAACGGGUGAGUAACACGUGAGUAACCUGCCCUUGACUUUGGGAUAACUUCAGGAAACUGGGGCUAAUACCGGAUAGGAGCUCCUGCUGCAUGGUGGGGGUUGGAAAGUUUCGGCGGUUGGGGAUGGACUCGCGGCUUAUCAGCUUGUUGGUGGGGUAGUGGCUUACCAAGGCUUUGACGGGUAGCCGGCCUGAGAGGGUGACCGGCCACUGUGGGACUGUGAACCGGCCCAGCCUCCUCCGGGGGGCAGCGGUGGGGAUUAUUGCACAAGGGGCGGAGCCCUGAUGCAGCGACGCCGCGUGGGGGAUGACGGCCUUCGGGUUGUAAACCUCUUUCCCCUGGGACGAAGGGUGAGUGCCGUUAUUGGGAAAAGAAGCCCCGGCUAACUACGUG